AAUUGAUUUUACGAUAUAUAAUGUAUAUAAAUGUUUGAUAUUAUAUGUAAAUUUGUAUUUUGAAAAUUUAGAUUUUGAUAUAAUAUAUUUUGAAAUAUGGUAAAGAGAAAUAAUUAUUUCUGGUUCGGCUCUUUGGGUUUCUGGUUCAGAUUUCAGAUUUUCAGUCUGAUUCAUAUUCGAGCUCAGGUUUCGAGUUUGGUUGUCACAUUCGGAUUUAGAUUUUUGAAAAUUCAUUCCGAAUCUGAAUCGUUGACAUCUCUAGCUAAGAGAGAAGGUUUUAGUUGUAGUUGAU
rnacentral:lncRNA from 1 species